CUACAGUUAGUUGCCAGCCAUCUGCUUUUGGGGACUUGGCUUCUGGGGAUAGGCUGGCCGUCAGCUGGGGUGACAGGUGGUGACUAGGCUUGAUUUCAUGGCUCCUGGGUCCCAAGAGCAUGGUCCAAGGAACAAGCACUUUCCAAUUCCCUCUUGCUUUAUGUUUGUUAUUGUCUCAUUGGCCGAAACAAGUCACAAGGUUAAGCCCAAAGUCUGUAUGGAAAGAGACUACCUGAGGGAACAGAUACAGGGAUACAUGAUCAAAAUAGCAGCUAUUGGAGAAGGACACUGAAGUAGUUGAUUAUUAGAGGGAAUCACAUAUCUAAAGGCAAGAAAAAAAUUAAGAUUAUUUUCACAGCUCAAAUGUUGCAGGAAAAUAAGGUUUAUAAAAGAUCAGAAGCAUAUCCAGGAGGACUGAUCAACAUAUGCCUGAGGGACUUUGCUAACUGAAAAAAUGAAAAGAGAAAGCAGAAGGCAAUGUUUUGGGAAGUGAUCAAAUGAAGAUACUAAGCGUAACCAACAGUUUUCAAGAAAUUUGUCCAUAAGAGGAUUUAAGAAAAGAAAGAUUGAGGACAAGAGUGGGAAGAACUAGCUCCAGUGUUUUCUCACUUCAGGAAAAGCAUCUCUGAAUAAGUACACUAUUUUAAGCCUAAUCAAUGUGAAGAAGAUGAGGAUUCAGAUCCUAUAAUGAUCCACCUCCACUUAAUGAAGAGUAAAUAUAUUUUCUCCUCUUUAUGAUUCUCUUCAUAACAUUUUCCAAACUCUAGCUUACUUUAAGAAUACAGUACAUGAUACAUAUACAAAAUAUGUGUGAAUUCACACUUUAUGUUAUCAAUAAGGCUUCCAGUCAACAGCAGGCUAUUGGUAGUUAAAUUAUUGGGGAGUUAGGAGUUUUCCUUGAAUUUUUGACUGUGGUGGGGAGUCAGUGGCCCUAACCCCCAUGUUGUUCAAGGGUAAACUGUAUUACAAUUUCUGAACACAUCUUUUCCUAUGAUUUAAUAUGAUAAUGUAUAUAAAAUAGUUCAGCGUUGGCUACCCAUUGAUAAUUGCAUAGAAUGAGGUCAAUUUAUCAUAUGUGUAAAUUACUUACAAUAUGUGCAACACAAACAAGCACAAUGAAAGUAAUUUUGGCUAUGAAAUGCUGUCUUAAGAACAUGGAAUAUUUCCACCCUGACCAAUAUGGUGAAACCUCAUAUCUACUAAAAAUACAAAAAUUAGCCAGGCGUGGUGGCGGGCACCUGUAAUCCCAACUACUUGGGUGGCUGAGACAGGAGAAUUGCUUGAAUGUGAAAAGUGGAGGUUGCAGUGAACUGAGAUUGUGCCACUGCACUCCAGCCUGGCUGACAGAGUGAGACUCUCUGUCUCAAAAUAAUAAUAAUAAUAAUAAUAAUAAUAAUAAUAAUAAUAAUAAAAUACCAUUAAUUUCCUCUAUAAAAUAAAUACUUUGUUUCCAAAGAGGUGAAACAGAACUUUAUUGUAAGAUUUUAC
rnacentral:lncRNA from 1 species